CACAGUUUAACUUUAGUAUAUAGUAAAUUGAAUACAAUGUUUUUCAAGUUCUCUAUUUUGUUACUAUAUUUUAUCAUAAUUGCUUAUUGUGUACAGGGUGAACCCGAGGAUGAAAAUGAAACUCUCAAAAGUUCGUUCGAUAAUUGUAGAAGAUGGUUAGGGAAAUCUCUGAAUGAUACUAUUACAAGGAACGAAUUUUUGUUGUAUAUGGGAAAAAACAUUAGCGAUUGGUAUGCCUUAGAUUUAUACUCCAUUACAAACCUAGCUGCCAAUGAAAAAAAUGCUUCUAUAGAUUUAAGUGUAUAUGGUGAACUUUUUAAGUACAUAUGCAACAUACGUGGCGUUUCUAUAAGACACUGGGCAUUAUAUAUGAAAAUUAAAGCGGCAACAAGUACACUCGAAGAGGCUUUAUUGUUAGAUUGGGGUGAUCACGAU